rnacentral:rRNA from 1 species
GAUGAACGCUGGCGGCGUGCCUAAUACAUGCAAGUCGAGCGAAUGGAUUAAGAGCUUGCUCUUAUGAAGUUAGCGGCGGACGGGUGAGUAACACGUGGGUAACCUGCCCAUAAGACUGGGAUAACUCCGGGAAACCGGGGCAAAUACCGGAUAACAUUUUGAACCGCAUGGUUCGAAAUUGAAAGGCGGCUUCGGCUGUCACUUCUGGAUGGACCCGCGUCGCAUUAGCUAGUUGGGGAGGUAACGGCUCACCAAGGCAACGAUGCGUAGCCGACCUGCGAGGGUGAUCGGCCACACUGGGACUGAGACACGGCCCAGACUCCUACGGGAGGCAGCAGUAGGGAAUCUUCCGCAAUGGACGAAAGUCUGACGGAGCAACGCCGCGUGAGUGAUGAAGGCUUUCGGGUCGUAAAACUCUGUUGUUAGGGAAGAACAAGUGCUAGUUGAAUAAGCUGACACCUUGACAGUACCUAACCAGAAAGCCACGGCUAACUACGUGCCAGCCGCCGCGGUAA